UACGUAGGGUGCAAGCGUUAAUCGGAAUUACUGGGCGUAAAGGGCUCGUAGGUGGCCAACUAAGUCAGACGUGAAAUCCCUCGGCUUAACCGGGGAACUGCGUCUGAUACUGGAUGGCUUGAGAUUGGGAGAGGGACGCGGAAUUCCAGGUGUAGCGGUGAAAUGCGUAGAUAUCUGGAGGAACACCGGUGGCGAAGGCGGCGUCCUGGACCAACACUGACACUGAGGAGCGAAAGCCAGGGGAGCAAACGGG
rnacentral:rRNA from 1 species